ACAUUUGCUCCAGUAGCCAAGUUAAACACAGUUCGGGUUUUAUUAUCUUUGGCUGCAAACCUUGACUGGCCUCUCCACCAACUAGAUGUCAGAUGCCUUUCUAAAUGGGGACUAACUGAGAGAUCAAGCCAACAAUCCACCUCAAAAUCUGGACACACCUCAAAAUUUGGACACUAUUCAAUCAACAAAGAGUGAUGAAUUGAUUACCUACUCAAGGAGGAGAAAGAACCAAAAGGAGAUGGAACAACAAGCAUCUCUUGAGCAAACCCAAGAGUCUGACUCAAGUCCUAGAUCAAGUGAAGAUCCACCAGGUAACACUAAUCCUGAAACUAAUGAUGACAGUGGCCUUCCUAUUGCUGUGAGAAAAGGGGUAAGAUCAUGCACAAAACAUCCGAUAUACACAUUUGUGUCAUAUGAAGGAUUGUCACCGAAGUUCAAAGCUUUUGUUGCCAACCUCGACAACAUCCAAGUUCCUAAUAAUAUACAAGAAGCUCUCAGCUCACCAGAAUGGAAAUCAGCAGUGUAUGAAGAAAUUCAUGCACUAGAGAAAAAUGGAACUUGGGAAAUCUCUGACUUACCAACCGGGAAACGCCCAGUAGGCUGCAAAUGGAUCUUCACAGUAAAAUAUAAUGAAGAUGGGAGUGUUAAUCGGUUCAAGGCACGACUGGUUGCAAAGGGAUUCACCCAAUCAUAUGGAAUCGAUUAUGAGGAGACAUUUGCUCCAGUAGCCAAGUUAAACACAGUUCGGGUUUUAUUAUCUUUGGCUGCAAACCUUGACUGGCCUCUCCACCAACUAGAUGUCAAGAAUGCCUUUCUAAAUGGGGACCUAACUGAAGAAGUGUACAUGGAAAUUCCCCCCGGAUUUGAGACACAAACUACAUGCAACAAGGUUUGUAAACUUAGGAGAUCGCUAUAUGGGCUCAAGCAAUCUCCAAGAGCUUGGUUUGAAAGAUUCACAAAGGUAGUGAAGAAGCAUGGCUACUCUCAAUGUCAGACGGACCAUACACUAUUUGUUAAACACUCUUCUG
rnacentral:lncRNA from 1 species